UACACAUGCAGUCGAGCGGUAAGCAGAGUCCAGCUUCGCUGUGACGCUGACGAGCGGCGGACGGGUGAGUAAUGCGGAGGAAUCUACCCGGUCGUGGGGGAUAACCUGGGGAAACCCAGGCUAAUACCGCAUACGUCCUACGGGAGAAAGCGGGGGCUCUUCGGACCUCGCGCGAUUGGAUGAGCCUAUGUCGGAUUAGCUGGUUGGUGGGGUAACGGCUCACCAAGGCGACGAUCCGUAGCUGGUCUGAGAGGAUGAUCAGCCACACUGGGACUGAGACACGGCCCAGACGCCUACGGGAGGCAGCAGUGGGGAAUAUUGGACAAUGGGCGAAAGCCUGAUCCAGCCAUGCCGCGUGUGUGAAGAAGGCUUUCGGGUUGUAAAGCACUUUCAGUGGGGAAGAAGGCUUGUCGGCCAAUACCCGGCCAGAGCGACAUCACCCACAGAAGAAGCACCGGCUAACUCCCUGCCAGCAGCCGCGGUAAUACGGAGGGUGCAAGCGUUAAUCGGAAUUACUGGGCGUAAAGCGCGCGUAGGCGGCUUGUCACGCCNGGUGUGAAAGCCCCGGGCUCAACCUGGGAACGGCAUCCGGAACGGGCAGGCUAGAGUGCAGGAGAGGAAGGUAGAAUUCCCGGUGUAGCGGUGAAAUGCGUANAGAUCGGGAGGAAUACCAGUGGCGAAAGCGGCCUUCUGGACUGACACUGACGCUGAGGUGCGAAAGCGUGGGUAGCACACAGGAUUAGAUACCCUGGUAGUCCACGCCGUAAACGAUGUCGACUACCCGUUGGGUCCCUUGAGGACUUAGUGUCGCACUUAACGCGAUAAGUCUACCGCCUGGGGAGUACGGCCGCAAGGUGAAACUCAAAUGAAUGACCGGGGGCGCGGCACAAGCGGUGUAUCAUGUGGGUGUAAUUCAUGCACGCCACGAGCCUUACCUACCCUGACAUCCUGCAACCCGGACCAGAUUCAUGGUGCGUGGGGAGCGAAGAGACAGUGCUGCAUGGCUGUCGUGGCUCAUCUCUGAGAUGGUGAGGUAGU
rnacentral:rRNA from 1 species